rnacentral:tRNA from 1 species
UAGCUCAGCUAGUAGACCACAAGGCUCUUAACCUUGUGGUCGUGGGUUUGAGUCCCACG